rnacentral:lncRNA from 1 species
AUACCUGCAGAAGGGUAUUUCUAGUGAUUUUUUUUUGCUUAAAGGCCCAAAACAACAACAGUUGUUUGUGUGUCAAAUCCCAGCACCCCAAUGUCACAUCUCAGCACCCCAGUGUCACAUCCCAGCACCCCAGUGUCACAUCCCAGCACUCCCAGUGUCACAUCCCAGCACUCCCAGUGUCACAUCCCUGCACUCCCAGUGUCACAUCCCAGCACUCCCAGUGUCACAUCCCUGCACUCCCAGUGUCACAUCCCAGCACUCCCAGUGUCACAUCCCUGCACUCCCAGUGUCACAUCCCAGCACUCCCAGUGUCACAUCCCUGCACUCCCAGUGUCACAUCCCAGCACUCCCAGUGUCACAUCCCUGCACUCCCAGUGUCACAUCCCAGCACUCCCAGUGUCACAUCCCUGCACUCCCUGCUCUGCCAGCAUCUCCCCGAGGUCCCCCCUGCCUGGGAUGUUCCUGUUUGAUCCCAAUUAUUUCUCCCUGGCUUUCAUCCUUCCGUGGCUCCGUCGUGUUUCCGUCGCUGGCACUGUCAUUAAUUACCUGGCAGUGCAAUUAGUGACGGGUUUGCUCCUUCCCUUCCACAGCAGCAGUUUAAAUUGUGGCAAAAACAUCCAUGAAUUCCACAAGGGGCCAAACCCACCCUCGUGGGGGCUCGGGGUGGGGACCCCCAUCCCAGCUGCCAUUCCAGAGGAGGAACUGGGGCUCUGGGGAUCUGCACACACCUGUUUAGGGAUCAGAUACCAGCACGGACAUCUCUCCGUGGGCACGUCCCUGGAGUGUGUCAGGGUUUACAGAAUGUUCAUGGGAAUGUUUGUAAAAUAUGAGCAUUUAUGGAAAAUCCAUAGUGGAGGGGUUUGGGCUGUGCUGCAGGGAACAGGGACAGGAGCACAGGGAAGGGCCAGGCCAGGGCAGGGUGGGCAGCAGCAGGAAUUCCCCCAUGGGAAGGGUGGGCAGGGAGUGGAAGGGGAAAUUUGGAGUUCCCAUCCCUGGAGGUGUCCAAGGAAGGGCUGGAGGUGGGGACAAGGUGGGGAUGGGUCACAGGUUGGAUUUGGUGACCUUGGGCUGGGGGCAGGGCAGGGAUCGGGCACAGCUUGGACUCGGAGCCUCAGCAAUCCCGGGAUUCUGCGAUGCACAGAAGUUGUAGGAACACAAAAUAUCAACCAUCUGAAAGGCAGUUGAGGGCCGAUUGCAGGCUGGCCUGGCAGGGUUUCUCCCCCCAGUGCCCCUCUGUGGGCUCCUGGCCCCCGCUGGGGCAGGAUCACCCCGCGGGACAUGGCCGGGAAUGGGAAUCCCCUCCCGACCUGCCGGGCGCUAAUUGCUCCGGGCGGGGGAGAGGGGAACCGGCAAAGUGCCAGACGGGGAGGGGAGGGGAGUGCCGUGGAACCCUGCAGCCUUUCAUCUGCAGCUUUUCAUCUCCCUGGGCCGGGGGAAUCCUGGCAGCCACCGCCCCAACGGCCCCGGCGCUCGGCUCUGCCCCGGAACGGGA